GACGAACGCUGGCGGCGUGCUUAACACAUGCAAGUCGAACGGUGAAGCGCCUUCCUUUUUGGUGGGUGUGGAUGAGUGGCGAACGGGUGAGUAACACGUGAGUAACCUGCCCCCUUCUUCUGGAUAACCGCAUGAAAGUGUGGCUAAUACGGGAUAUUCUGGGUCUGUCGCAUGAUGGGUCUGGGAAAGAUAUUGUUUCGGUGGGGGAUGGGCUCGCGGCCUAUCAGCUUGUUGGUGGGGUGAUGGCCUACCUAGGCGGUGACGGGUAGCCGGCCUGAGAGGGUGGACGGUCACACUGGGACUGAGACACGGCCCAGACUCCUACGGGAGGCAGCAGUGGGGAAUAUUGCACAAUGGGCGCAAGCCUGAUGCAGCGACGCCGCGUGAGGGAUGGAGGCCUUCGGGUUGUGAACCUCUUUCGCCAGUGAAGCAGGCCUGCCUCGUUUGUGGGUGGGUUGACGGUAGUUGGAUAAGAAGCGCCGGCUAACUACGUG
rnacentral:rRNA from 1 species